ACCCCUCUCUCCUGCGCAAACCCCAUCCCUCUCCCCUCUCUCUUGCGCGAACCCUAGCUUCCUCCCUUGCCGCCGCCACCUCCAGCCCCCGAUCCCCGUGACCAGCACACCAACGUCCGGCGAGAUCCCGAGGGCGCAGCAGCCGCCCUCCCCACCGCGGCUCGGGGGCAGGCAGCAGCAGCCCCUCCCGCUGCCCAGGCUGGUAGCAGCCCCUCCUGUCGCCCUCCCCGAUCCAGAUCCCUCGCCGCCACCCACCUCCACCACAUCUCCCCUCUCCACCUUGAUGCAGAACUCCCCCGUCCCCUCGAUGCGGAGCUUGCUACCGUCCAUGGCCUCCCCCACGCCCUCCUCCUCUCGCCCCUCCCCUUCCCUCACCAGAAGGGAGAGAAGAACCCGAGGGAGGGAGAUCCAACGCGAUCCAGCCUCGGUCUCCGCUGCCUCGGCCUCGCGCCUCGCCGGAGCAGCUCCGCCGCCGACCGAAGUCCCGCAGGUCGACGUGUUCCCCCGCUCUUCUUCCUCCCUCUGUUUGUGUCUCCCUUUUUUUCUCUCAAGUCUCAAUCCCCUUUGUACUUCUCUAUGCAAGGAGGCCGCCAUGGACGCCUGAGGUCCUUCGCUCCGACCCACAACCCGGCGGCCUUGCCGACGUCGUCACCCUGGUGAGCCGCAACCUCGAUGGAGGUCUGGCUUCGGAUCCGAGCCGCAGGCACCCACCCGUCGUUUUCGUGCUUCCGCUCCUGCUCCGUCGUUGUCACGCGACCAUCUUGACUCCCUCCCGCACGCACGAGCAGCAGGAAGAUGCAGUUCUUCGUCAAGACCUCAUAGGUUCAUGAGGGAAGAUAUACCAUAUAUAUUCACUCCUCAAGGGAAGCUGCAACCCGCAGAACGCAAGAAAGGGCUGUUGUGUGUUGCGUCCUCGCCAUGUCUGGACAUCAAGGAUGAGCACCGGAUCAGCGUCGACGUGUGUGCCCGCAAGGUCGUGGGUUGCAAGGUCUAUGAGUUGGUUGAGCCACCGCGCGAAGACAUCACUUCCCGCUUCGUUCACGCUUGGCCGCUGCCAUCGGCUCUCUGCUCAGCUGCAAGACAGAGACACGCCACCAUGCGAUGAUUCUUCUUCCACUCGCAGGCCUCCCACUCUAGUAACUCUUUUUCUACUCCAGCAUAGCAUAGCUGGUGAUUUGUUUCUUGGAAUUUGGAAGAGGAAGACGAUGAAGCGUGGUGGUUAUCUAUCAAUAUGCCUUGUGUUCUGGUUGUACUUCAUAGCUAGUUUCAUUGUAUUUUGUACUGGUCUGGUUGUAUGAACAGUAUGUAAAGAUUGUAAUAGGCUACACUUAUUGGUCUGGUUGUAUUUUGUACUGGUCUGGUUGUACUGGUCUGGUCAUUUCAAGUAUAUAGUUUUGUUUCAUUUGAAAUAUUUGUCA